CACGCAUGACACACUGCAUAUCAAUAAGCGGAGGAAAAGAAACUAACAAGGAUUCCCUUAGUAACGGCGAGUGAAGCGGGAAGAGCUCAAAUUUGAAAUCUUCAAGGUUUUACCUUGACGAAUUGUAGUUUAAAGAAGUGUUUUCUGUUGAAGUUUUGGUAAAAGUUCUUUGGAAUAGGACAUCAUAGAGGGUGAGAAUCCCGUAUUUGACCAUUAUUUUCAGCUGUGUGAUACACUUUCAAAGAGUCGGAUUGUUUGGGAAUGCAGUCCAAAAUGGGUGGUAAAUUUCAUCUAAAGCUAAAUAUUGGCGAGAGACCGAUAGCGAACAAGUACCGUGAGGGAAAGAUGAAAAGAACUUUGAAAAGAGAGUUAAACAGUACGUGAAAUUGUCAAAAGGGAAGCGUUUGACACCAGUGUUGUUUUCUCGAAAAUCAAUUAAAAAAGGCCUGGAUUUUGUGUUGUAUUGACCUUAAAAGCUUUCUUCACUCUUUUCUUGUCUUUUUUAAUGCACUUUUCGUUUAACAAGUCAACAUCAGUUUCUUUUGUUGUAAAAGGGUCAUUGGAAGGUGGCUUUCAUUUUCGGAUGAAAGUGUUUAUAGCCUUUGAUCCUCUGCAACCGGAGAGACUGAGGUCUGCAGCGUAGAUCCUUCGGGGUUAGAUACAUUUGUGCUAAGUUAUAGCUUUUCAUAGACAACUUGUUGACUAUAUUUAGUCUUGUAGGCUUACUCGCUUAUGCUAUUUUACCUACGCUUAGGAUGUUGACUGAUAUGUAGUCGUA
rnacentral:rRNA from 1 species